GCCCUCACCUGCUACUGCGACGUCCGGAUCCAGCCACCACAGCAGCCCCACCGGCCGGCGCUCCGCACCUCCUUCGCUGUCGCGCCGUGCCACCCACCGCCCCAACCGCCACCUCCCCUGGGUAGCCGCGCCGCCACCUUCCCCCGUGCCGCCAGCCUCCCCCGUGGUCACCACCACACCCCUCCCCCACGCACCUUCGUCCCCCCCGCGCCACCCAAUCAACAGAUCCGAGCGUCCGCCGGUCCCCAACAUCCUCCGGAUCGGGCGGCCAUGGAGGGAUGAUGUGUGGGGUGAGGUCCGGCAGCACUCCCGCGUUGACGACGACGGGGCGGCCCCCUCUGUCGGAGCUAUGGUUGGCCUACGCAGCCAACACGGACGCGGCCUCGAUCUGGGGUACCUCCACAGCGGCCUCGAGUGUCGCAGUGUCCCGACGAAGCAGCUCUGACCGGGUGGAUUUGGAACUGCAGUCCACAUCGCACAGAGGCAUGCCCCACUUCCUCCUCUCCAUGCAGUCCACUGUCAAAGCCAAGGGACUUGUUGUCCCGGGGGCAUUAGGGGCAGCUGGCUUCAAAGAUUGGAGGGGGUUCGGUUAUCUCGGCGGUCAGCGACGAGGGAUCCGAGGCAGCCACCGCGCCACCAGCCCCGUGCAGCUCGGUUGUCAGGCCCGUGCAGCUCGGUUGCCACGGCCGGCCUCCAAAGCCUCCUCCCCAACCCCGACACUGGACGGCGCUGCCCCGCCAUCGCUUCACCGUGAUGUAGCUCCAUCGCGCGUUGUCAAGGCGAGGCUACUUCGCCACCCCUGGACUCGGAGGAUCUGGCCUGAUGCGGUUUCGUCAAGCGCCGCCAUGGAGGAUACAAGUCUCGGGUCCUUCUUCUUCCCGGGUCGCCACUGCUCCGACACCAUGGAAGGUCGUGAUGCGCGCCAUCCCUUCACCGUGAUGCACGCGAGAUACAUGCCCCAAGGGUCGUCUCUCCUUCCACCGACGACGGUUGCGGCAGUGCACUCGUCCCUCUCUCUUCCAGUGGAGUUUGGAGUUUGCUAUGUGUCAUUCUUCUGGUUGAAUUUUGCACUCGAUGCGGUCCGCUCUGACCGUUCCCGCAAUUUAGAUGGGAGCUUGAUGAGGUUCACAUUCAAAAUGCACUACUCGAUAGCGGUUCAGCAACUCAUCCCAUGCAGCUCGGUUUGCACAAGCGUGUGGUUUGGUAUAUAGCCCUGUGUAGCUCGGGUGUGGUGGUGUACAGUUUGUGCAUGUUUUUUUUACUGCAAGUUGUGCAUCAUGCAGUUUGAUCUCGGCCACCACCAUCUCGUUGUUCCUGCCCUUGCGACGCGGAGGCCGCAGUCCACCCGACGUUGCGCUGCAGUCCGCUCCCGGCCCCUUAUCUACAAGUUUGUGGUGAAAAAACUGUGGUUCACGUUGUUGUGUUGGAGAGAUCUGCAAGUUGCUCGUUCAAUUUUAAUUUUUCAGGUUUUGCUUGGCACAAAAUUGCAGUUCUCCCAUUCAGAUUCUUUUUUGGGCGUUCUGAUAUGCAGUGCAGUGCGUGUGAGAAAUAAAACUCCUCCGUGGUCGCGGCGUGCAGUUCC